rnacentral:rRNA from 1 species
ACUCUGGUUGAUCCUGCCAGAGGCCACUGCUAUCGGGGUCCGAUUAAGCCAUGCGAGUCGAGAGGGGUAAAGCCCUCGGCGAACGGCUCAGUAACACGUGGACAACCUACCCUCAGAUCUGGGAUAACUCCGGGAAACUGGAGAUAAUACCGGAUAGACCGUGAACGCUGGAAUGCCUUACGAUCCAAAGCUUUUGCGUCUGAGGAUGGGUCUGCGGCCGAUUAGGUAGUUGCUGGGGUAACGUCCCAACAAGCCGAUAAUCGGUACGGGUUGUGAGAGCAAGAGCCCGGAGAUGGAUUCUGAGACACGAAUCCAGG